ACGGACGAGAAGCUUGCUUCUCUGAUGUUAGCGGCGGACGGGUGAGUAACACGUGGAUAACCUACCUAUAAGACUGGGAUAACUUCGGGAAACCGGAGCUAAUACCGGAUAAUAUUUUGAACCGCAUGGUUCAAAAGUGAAAGACGGUCUUGCUGUCACUUAUAGAUGGAUCCGCGCUGCAUUAGCUAGUUGGUAAGGUAACGGCUUACCAAGGCAACGAUGCAUAGCCGACCUGAGAGGGUGAUCGGCCACACUGGAACUGAGACACGGUCCAGACUCCUACGGGAGGCAGCAGUAGGGAAUCUUCCGCAAUGGGCGAAAGCCUGACGGAGCAACGCCGCGUGAGUGAUGAAGGUCUUCGGAUCGUAAAACUCUGUUAUUAGGGAAGAACAUAUGUGUAAGUAACUGUGCACAUCUUGACGGUACCUAAUCAGAAAGCCACGGCUAACUACGUGCCAGCAGCCGCGGUAAUACGUAGGUGGCAAGCGUUAUCCGGAAUUAUUGGGCGUAAAGCGCGCGUAGGCGGUUUUUUAAGUCUGAUGUGAAAGCCCACGGCUCAACCGUGGAGGGUCAUUGGAAACUGGAAAACUUGAGUGCAGAAGAGGAAAGUGGAAUUCCAUGUGUAGCGGUGAAAUGCGCAGAGAUAUGGAGGAACACCAGUGGCGAAGGCGACUUUCUGGUCUGUAACUGACGCUGAUGUGCGAAAGCGUGGGGAUCAAACAGGAUUAGAUACCCUGGUAGUCCACGCCGUAAACGAUGAGUGCUAAGUGUUAGGGGGUUUCCGCCCCUUAGUGCUGCAGCUAACGCAUUAAGCACUCCGCCUGGGGAGUACGACCGCAAGGUUGAAACUCAAAGGAAUUGACGGGGACCCGCACAAGCGGUGGAGCAUGUGGUUUAAUUCGAAGCAACGCGAAGAACCUUACCAAAUCUUGACAUCCUUUGACAACUCUAGAGA
rnacentral:rRNA from 1 species